UGCGCUUUUCAAAUUACCUUGUGAAUCCGGGUUCCUUAACUUGCACAAAUGAGAACUUUUCACACGUUGUCAGCGGGAAAAUGCCGACUAUUUAAGCGAAUCGAUCCCUUUUCUUCGUUAUGAUACCUUCUAUACAUCUAUAAACUGUAGAUGAAGCGAAGUUUUACCUGGAUUCUGAUUGCCGAUUGCAUGUAAUUGACUCUUCCUCAUCCUUGUGCCCCACCUGUUAAAAUUGAUCAGUUGGCCAAGUCCAAGGAGAUGGAGGAUAUACUAAGAUUUGGAGCUUACAGGGCCAUCAUGGACGAUGACCAAUCAUCAUGCGUUGAGUCAUGCAUAGAGUCAUGCGUAACUUUACGAACAGCUUCAUGAAACACCAACCUGAAUAAUCUUUCAACCAGUCACAGUUGGACAGCGAUGACCAAGAAGGAGAUAGAGGAUUAAGAAAAGAAGCUUACGUGCCAUCAUGGACAGUGACAACCAAUCAUCACAGUUCUACGCUGAAGCCAAGCACAAGCCUGGAAGGGAUCAUCUUUUGCAAAAGGAAGCUCAAAAGAGAUUCUGAUCACACCAAAUGACCCAGGUCAAGGUGGAUGAUCUUAGUUCUAGUUUUAAGGAGAGCAAAGAGAAUGGACAUUGAGCUAGAAACAGGCAAGCCAUGUGACAAGGCUGAGAAUCCUGGAAGAGAGACGAACGGAUUCUGACCUGCCAGUUGCAAAACCUGAUGGACCUAUCAACAACGAAACAGAGGAUAAGGAGACGAUGAAGGCUGUGAAAGCACUGGUUCAUAUUUGCAAUUGAUCGCAAACUUUUACGUGACACUGCCCAGGGACCUGUUUCAUAAAAGACUUGCAGCUGUUGUAACUUUGCCAUUAUGGCAACUACCAUGGAAACCUUGAUUGUGAUUGGCUGCUGAGCCCUGUUACCAUGGUAGUUGCCAUUAUGGCAAAGUUACAACAGUAGAAUUAGUCCUUUAUGAAACAGGGCCCUUGUAUAAAGCAGCAAACACAAUUUCUAGAAGUCAAAUUCAGGUUUUUGCCUCACCUCACCUGCAUAGCAGGAGGAAGACGUAUCACUUUUUCGAUGGCGGUAGUGAUGGCAGUGUCGAUGACAACAUAUCUUAAUCAUUGUUAAGAUUUUAAAUUGCCUUCAUUACAGUGCCUAUUUUAUAAAACUUGGACACAGAAGUACUGAAGGGUCACAGAUCAUUUAGCAUUAGCUUUAGGUCACAUGAUCAAAGUCAAAUGUCAUUUAGGGUCAAUAAGCUUUGACCUUGUAAUAUCAAUAUUAAAAAAAAGACUAAGGUUAAGAUAUCACUUUUGAAGUUCAUUUCAAAAUCUCUGUUAAUCGAUGAAUUUAAUUUGAGGUCACUGAACGAUGUCAAAGGUCAAUUUGGAGGUCAACAUACUGGUAUCAAUUUUAUAAUGGAAGAUUAAGAUUUUUUAUUUUCAAUAUAAUUUUGAAAUUUUGAGUGUUUGCUCUGUCAAGCAUGGAUAUAAUUUUCAUCAGGAAACAUAACUUAUAUGCAAGUAUAAUGUUAGAUUACUGGUUCAAGGUCUCAGGUCAUUUCAAAUACAUGUAAAUUCAAUCAAAUUUAAUCCAAGUUGUACAGGAUGAUUAUUUGACAUCAGAAAUUUCAAAAUUGUAAAAUAUAAAUAAAGUCAAGGUCAAAGGUCAUUAGGACAGAAAAAAUUUGUCAAAUGUUUAAAAUCUGAUUCCAUGCAGAUUGGAUAUGAGGAGUGUUGGGUAUCAACCAUUAUGUGUGCUGAAAAUUAGGUAUUUUGAUCAAUGUCAAAGGUCAUUUAAGUUAAAAAUCUAUAUUUUUCCAUCUCUUAAGUAAAUGCUCAUAUCCAUUCAUUUCCUUAUUCCUUGAGGCUUGUAUUUAAAAAUUUCAAAAUCUUUGGGCAAGGCCAUUCUGCUAUCAGGGGCAUUUCUUUAUUACAGCACAAUUAAGGAAAAAAAUACAAAGGGCGG